rnacentral:misc_RNA from 1 species
AACGCAAGUUGCGCCCGAAGCCUUGGCUGAGGGCACGUCUGCCUGGGUGUCACGCAUCGCGUUGCAUCCAAACCCUUCACCCUUCGGACGUUGCGGUGACGGUCUGGAUGCGGAAGCUGGCCUCCCGCGGCCGCGAGCCACGGAUGGCCCAAACACGUGCUAGGGGAGCGAAGCGCCACGGCAUCCGGUGGUUGAUCCAAGCCCCAGAAGCAGUGCCGGCGGUGGCCGCACCCGUCCCUAGCCGACGACCCUAAACGUUAACCAACGCGACCUCAGGUCAGGCGGGGCUACCCGCUGAGUUUAA